rnacentral:rRNA from 1 species
CACCGCGGUUAUACGAGAGGCCCAAGCUGACAGCCAUCGGCGUAAAGCGUGGUUAAAAUAAUAAAAGAAUAAAGCCGAAUGCUUCCUCAACUGUUAUACGUUCUCGGAAGCGAGAAGAUCCUUAACGAAAGUAGCUUUAAUACUAUUGAACCCACGAAAGCUAAGACA